rnacentral:rRNA from 1 species
GCCCUAGUAACGGCGAGUGAAGCGGCAACAGCUCAAAUUUGAAAUCUGGCGCAAGCCCGAGUUGUAAUUUGUAGAGGAUGCUUCUGGGCAGCGGCCGGUCUAAGUUCCUUGGAACAGGACGUCAUAGAGGGUGAGAAUCCCGUAUGCGACCGGUUGGCACCCGUCACGUAGCUCCUUCGACGAGUCGAGUUGUUUGGGAAUGCAGCUCUAAAUGGGAGGUAAAUGCCUUCUAAAGCUAAAUACCGGCCAGAGACCGAUAGCGCACAAGUAGAGUGAUCGAAAGAUGAAAAGCACUUUGGAAAGAGAGUUAAAAAGCACGUGAAAUUGUUGAAAGGGAAGCGCAUGCAACCAGACUUGUCGGCGGUGUUCCGCCGGUCUUCUGACCGGUCCACUCGCCGCCGGCAGGCCAGCAUCAUCUGGGAGCGCCGGAUAAAGGCGUGGGGAAUGUAGCUCCUCGGAGUGUUAUAGCCCUGCGCGCAAUACGGCGCCUCCCGGGUGAGGUCCGCGCUUCGGCUAGGAUGCUGGCGUAAUGGUGGUCUGCGGCCCGUCUUGAAACACGGACCAAGGAGUCUAACAUCUAUGCGAGUGUUCGGGUGUCAAACCCCUACGCGCAAUGAAAGUGAACGGAGGUGGGAACUUCGGUGCACCAUCGACCGAUCCUGAUGUCCUCGGAUGGAUUUGAGUAAGAGCAUAGCUGUUGGGACCCGAAAGAUGGUGAACUAUGCCUGAAUAGGGUGAAGCCAGAGGAAACUCUGGUGGAGGCUCGCAGCGGUUCUGACGUGCAAAUCGAUCGUCAAAUUUGGGUAUA